rnacentral:sRNA from 1 species
CUUAUGGAUUUUUCUUUCCGCCUUUUCAAAUCACUUACACAUUCAUCCUGAGAAU